rnacentral:rRNA from 1 species
UACGGAGGGUGCAAGCGUUAUCCGGAUUCACUGGGUUUAAAGGGUGCGUAGGAGGGCAGGUAAGUCCGUGGUGAAAUCUCUGAGCUUAACUCAGAAACUGCCGUGGAUACUACCGGUCUUGAAUAUCGUAGAGGUGAGCGGAAUAUGUCAUGUAGCGGUGAAAUGCUUAGAUAUGACAUAGAACACCAAUUGCGAAGGCAGCUCACUACCCGAAUAUUGACUCUGAGGCACGAAAGCGUGGGGAUCAAACAGG